rnacentral:rRNA from 1 species
GAUCCUGGCUUAGGAUGAACGCUGGCGGCGUGCUUAACACAUGCAAGUCGAACGGAGUUUAGAGAGCUUGCUCUUAAACUUAGUGGCGGACGGGUGAGUAACGCGUGGGUAACCUGCCUUUCACUGGGGGAUAACAGUUAGAAAUGACUGCUAAUACCGCAUAAGCGCACAGGUUCGCAUGAACUAGUGUGAAAAAACUCCGGUGGUGAAAGAUGGACCCGCGUCUGAUUAGCUAGUUGGUGAGGUAACGGCCCACCAAGGCGACGAUCAGUAGCCGGCCUGAGAGGGUGAACGGCCACAUUGGGACUGAGGCACGGCCCAAACUCCUACGGGAGGCAGCAGUGGGGAAUAUUGCACAAUGGGGGAAACCCUGAUGCAGCCGACGCCGCGUGAGUGAAGAAGUAUUUCGGUAUGUAAAGCUCUAUCAGCAGGGAAGAAAAUGACGGUACCUGACUAAGAAGCCCCGGCUAACUACGUGCCAGCAGCUGC